ACAUUUUCUCCAAACCCGACACAAGUCAGACAGGGGACGAUAUUUGAUCGAAAUAUUUCUGACUGAUAUUGCAACUAAACCUGAUAUUCAAAAUGAGAUCUGCUGUGAUUCUGUUGGUGGUCAUGAUCGUCGGGUGUGCAUUGGUGUCUGCAGACAAGCCAGCAAGAGAGUGGGUUACUCCACAAAAUGCCGGCAGAGGUAGAGGUGAAGACUCGUGUGAAGGUGGUAAAUGCAGUGGCGAAGGAGCGCAGAUGAAACGUCGAAUGGCCAGGAGAGCAGCACGGAGCGCAGAACGUGAAGAUGCAUAGAAGCGGGUUCCAUCAGUCCCGACAGCAAGGCAUUCCAGCCUGGAAUUCUUGGGGGAAGAGAGAGAGAGGCCUUCGAGAUUCUAAUUGUAGCAAUAUUACUUGACAUUUUUAAUUAGUUAAUGAUACACACUUAAACUCUUUAUAAUGAACUGGUCACAAUCUGGCUCUCCUCACAACCACAUAGUAAUCUGCGAUUACUUACCACAGCUUACCUAGUCUUGAUUUGAGACGUUUCAUUCGUUCACGAGCCGCUGAUUUCAUUAGGGUAUCAAACAAACAUGUACAGACCCUCCUUGGCCAAUUAAUGUAGCGCCAUCUACCGGUGACUAUACUAAAACGAGCGUCUCUAAUCAAGACUAUAGAUAACCCUGCCGGUUAUUAUCGGCAGGGGCGUGUAUGGUAAUGGUACAAUGCCAAUUUGCCGACUUCUGGGUGUAUGAUAAUUAUGUCAUUUUAUUUUGGAAAUCAGUUUGCCGACUCGCUGAUUUCAUUUGUUCAUUCUCCUGUAGACGAGCAGGGUAUACUGUUCGAAGCGUCGAGACCACACCGGCUAUUUUCAGAGCCCGGCUCUUUUCAGAGCCCGGCUCUUUUCAGAGCCCGGCUCUUUUCAGAGCCCGGCUCUUUUCAGAGCCCGGCUCUUUACAGAGAUUUACACAGUGUUGUACCCACAAGUUAACUAUUUAUUUUAUAGUGUCUUCCUUUUCGUAAUUAUUUUGUUUUCUUCAGUGAUCUGUUACCAAUGCUUGAGCGCCUAACGACUUUCUGACAAGAAAGUUUUGAGGCGCUUGAUAAACAUUUAAAAGAGUCAACCUUUGCCCCUAUUGUGUUCUUUGUAGUCCAUGAUUCCUAAAGAUACACAGCUGUGCUUAAAAAUAAAGAUAAUAAGGCCAAAGUAGACAAA